rnacentral:lncRNA from 1 species
AACAAAGAAAUGGGAGAUGGAGAUCGAACUCAAGACAUUGUGCAAAGGAGGCGAUGAUAUUAUUUUAGACAAUUGCUAGGAUCAAAAGCUCAAACAUUAGGAAGGGAUCACUAAUAUAUCAAGGGUAUGAUCAAAUAUAUUGGUCAUACAACAUAUGUAGGGUUUAGGGUUUAGGGUUUAGGCUUUAGGAUCUGACGGCAAAGUAGUAGACUGGACUAUCCAAUCAACCCCAUCUCCUAAAGAAAAGAAAUUUCGCACGGAUUGAGUACUAAUCUGUGGUUAGGAAUCAUGAUUGAUCUUAUAAUGCAAAUUAAGGGAGUUAUGAGUCAUAACACACACAUGUUAAUUAGUUAACUUGAGAACCGUGCGUGGCAUCCUCUUUCAGGUAAAAGUUCACAUUAAGUUCCUAACCCUAAUCUAAUUUCAACAAAAGGACAACUACUCUCUUCUUCCUUCAUGAAUUAUUCUGCUAAAAAAAAGACCACUCAACUAAUCUCAUCCACUUGAAUUUCGUAUGUGUUCUAUCUUCAGUUUGGACAAAAUUCAAAAGUCAACAUUUAUUUCUUGUCUAAACAUACAUUAAUCUAGUGACACAUCCAAUUUAAUCUAUAUUUCUUCUUCAACACACAUUAAUCUAAUGAAAUAUUCAAUCUAAUCCAAUAUUAAACAUCAAACAAUAUCUAAGGUCUUAUUAUUAAUCCAAUUUCAAUACAAAUAAAAAUAUACUCAAAUACACAAUUUUGAAGCUUUAAAAAUGAAAACUAAUGAAAAAUGCUUGAAAACUUUGAGUUUUAAUGAUAAAGACAAAAUAAAGGGUAAAGUGAAUAGUACCAUAAUUGACUUUUUAGUGUAAAAAUGUGGUUUUUCGUUAAAGUAAACAGUACCGGAUGUUUUUCGUUAAAGUUCCUUUAUUAAAAUUUGUUGAACAGAAGCAUUUGACAUCACUCAGCUUCCCAGAUGUCAUAUGCAUGGACCGUCAUUAAUUGCCAUCUCUACAUAGACAAUGGACAUAUAUAUAGCAUUACCCACCCUACCCAUCACAUCUCUCUGUAGUUCUUGCCGACACAUUGCAAAAGCAAAUGAAUCACGUAUCACCUCUCUAUUCCAUGAAAAUGAAAGCCCAAGUUAGGAUAAUGUAUGUUCUAAGGCCUUAAGCAGAAGAAGGAUAAUUUAGAUUUCUUAUUUUUCUAAGUUAUUGAUUUAAAUUACAUAGAUAAAUAAGAAUUUUUCAGAUCAUGUUUUAGUUUAAUGACCAUCUAAUGCUAAAGUAUUUAGUGAAAAAAAUAUAUUAAAAACGAUCGAUAUUAAAAGUUGGGUAGUAAAUCGUAAUCAACAGACCUACAAGUUUCAUACAAUAUUAUCAUGUUUUAUAUAUAAGAUAGUAUUCAAUUGGAUUGUAAAGAAUUUUCAUGGAGUUACAUAUAAUGUAUACUUCAAGCAAAUUCCCUCAAACUUAUAGGGGGAGAAAUUGAUUUUGUUAAAGACUUAAAUACACUAUGAAGCUCUCUAAAUCCAGCACUUUUUAAAAAUUUAUAAUAUCAAAACACGACACAUACGUAGACUUUUUUUAUACAUUUAAAUUCCUGAUUAAUUAAAUACACCCAAAAUUUUAGGACUUUUAUUUAAUUUACUAUAGAAUAAAGAAGGUGUUGAUGAAAUUGGGGUUCCACCGUAAAACCAAUUGACAAUAUGGGAAGUAACCCAAGAUCAUAUAAGCACAUAGUAAACCUUGACAAUAUGGGAAGUAACCCAAGAUCAUAUAAGCACAUAGUAAACCUUGUUCCUCACCAAUGUGGGACAACUCUCAACACGCCCCCGCACGUGUGACGGAUUUUCAAGCCUACACGUGGACAACAAUUGGGUGACGUAGAGCGCGUGUGGCCGUUUGGCUUCACACGUGGACAACCUUGCUCUAAUACCAUGAUGAAAUUGGGGUUCCACCAUAAAACCAAUUGGCAAUAUGGGAAGUAACCCAAGAUCAUAUAAGCACAUAGUAAACCUUGUUCCUCACCAAUGUGGGACAACUCUUAACAGGUGUCAAAUUCUACAAAAUAUAUGAUAAUGUGAUGAGGAUAAUUAUAUAUGACACGUCCAAUUGUGCAACAUUUAUUGAUUUUCCACGACUGAAAGGUCACUGAUUCAUUGCUCUAAAUGAAUUAUAAUGCAAAAGCUAAGCAAAGCUUCCAGUCAAUGGUUGAGGUUCAGUAGUCUCAACAUCCAUGGCCACACAUAUUCAUAUGAAAAAUGCCCUCAAUGACAAUUGUAGGGACGAAAGCCAGUAUGAAAUGAGUACUGCUCGAGUAAUAUUUGACAGGUCCCAUUCCUCUUCCUGGUUAGAAAAGUCCUUGAAGCUGUUCGUCUGAGGUACUUGCAAUUAACCACAUAACAAAAAUUUUAUGGUGCUCGGAGUAUAGACUAUGCUGGACUUUUAAUCUGUUAGAUAUUGGUUUUUAUGAAAUUGAAAAAAGAUUUCACCAUUAAGAAGUCCAAAAUAUCUGAUACUCUGAAGCAUUAUAGAAAAUUAAGCAUAAUACCUAGUGACAUAAACCCUAAACCCUAGUUCACGUAAAUUUGGUUCCUAACAUCAAGAAAAUUAGUCACUUAGCACUAUGGUCUAGUAUAAAAUUAAGAAAUGAAAUAAAAAAACCAACCAAACCAUAUUGUUUUGGUCUUUUGUUUUCUGUUUUUGGUCAAUUCGUGAUGAACCAAACCACACUGUAUACAAAGCUUUUCCUUUUCAAGAAGAGUACGAUAUUUCAUUUACUGAAAAAAGAUAUUACAAAUACAUAUCCAAAAGAAUUUGACCCCAGAAAAAAUCCUUGCAAACUAGGGGCUUGUUUGGAAGUGCAUUUGUUCCUGAAUCUCAUGUUUGGGCCCAAAAUACUGGUUUAGGCCGAGUUU